rnacentral:rRNA from 1 species
AUGGCUUUCACCCCACCGAGCUUUAGUCUUGGCAUUGAUCGCACUCAGGAUGAACCAGUGAUGCAUGAUCCUGCGCCUGUUGCCUUUGCUUUCCCGGCAGGUACGGCCCCAAUGAUGGUGCAGCCAAUGGCUGGUCGCAGGAAAGCUGUGAAGUUUGCAGAGCCGAUAGUGCAAGCCACCCCUGAGGAGAUUUUGCCGUCACUUGAUGAAGCUUACCGUAGGAUUGAUGAGGAAGCAUUGAAGAGGAGGUCCUCACGGGGUCAGGGGCAAUCAAUUUCUAACAUGCAUGCUGAGUCAGUAUCCGAGGAUACUGUCAGAAGUGCCACCCUGGAUCUGUGA